CCUCUCUUUUGCAGUGUGUUCUUGACAGUCAAAGUGUCAGCAGUCAGUUUUUUUGAUUGAGCUGCAGAUUUUUAUAUAUCUUCAUUAGUAUUACUUUUUACCAGUUUUAACCAUCACUAGUCAGUGAGACAAGAGAGAGGCGGACAGACAGGUGUAAAAGCCCAAACAACAUUUGGGCUUGAAAAGUCUUGAGCAAACCUACAGGGAAUAUUGUAAUCCUUCAGUAUUACAUCAUGAACAUUUUCUUAUGAACAUUAUUAUGAAAUUGAAUAUAUUAUUAAACGAAACAAUUGCUUUAAGUUUUAUAUACUGACCAUAAUGAAAUUCGACCUUGAACCCAACUAAAAGACACUAUAUUACAUGUAUAUCCAUCUUAACGAUGUUAAAUUAAAUGCUAUUGUUGUACUGAUUAAAGAGAAUACACGUUUGCGUAUGUCUAUUAAUAAUGGGCUUCUCGUGUACAUGGAAUAACGGACAUGAGCGUUUACGAUUGUAUGGUAUAAAUAUAAUAAAAUGCAUACUGCAUGGUUUUAUUCCACCAGAUUUCAUGGAUUUCAACGUAUGUCUAGCAAAAUAUCUACCACUAUUAUAACAGUAAUACAUGUUUAACAUACUCACUUGU